GGAGAGGUGUCCGAGCCGGCCGAAGGAGCUCGCCUGCUAAGCGAGUAUACGGGCUUAAACCUGUAUCGAGAGUUCGAAUCUCUCCCUCUCCGCCA
rnacentral:tRNA from 1 species